GCCACAUUAACCGCCCAUCUGUGGAGCCGGAACCCGAGUGUAUUAUCGUGCAGGAAUAAGAUCUGUCACGACGCCUUGCAAACUGGAGCGCUACGACCCAGACAGCGCGGGCUGUGGCUCCAGCAGUCCCAGCACCGCCACUCGGCCACUCGGCGACCCCGGACGCUCUCC